rnacentral:piRNA from 1 species
UGUGUAGGGGUGUGUUAGAUU